CUUGGUCAUUUAGAGGAAGUAAAAGUCGUAACAAGGUUUCCGUAGGUGAACCUGCGGAAGGAUCAUUAAAGAAAUUUAAUAAUUUUGAAAAUGGAUUUUUUUUUUUUGUUUUGGCAAGAGCAUGAGAGCUUUUACUGGGCAAGAAGACAAGAGAUGGAGAGUCCAGCCGGGCCUGCGCUUAAGUGCGCGGUCUUGCUAGGCUUGUAAGUUUCUUUCUUGCUAUUCCAAACGGUGAGAGAUUUCUGUGCUUUUGUUAUAGGACAAUUAAAACCGUUUCAAUACAACACACUGUGGAGUUUUCAUAUCUUUGCAACUUUUUCUUAGGGCAUUCGAGCAAUCGGGGCCCAGAGGUUAACAAACACAAACAAUUUUAUCUAUUCAUUAAAUUUUUGUCAAAAACAAGAAUUUUCGUAACUGGAAAUUUUAAAAUAUUAAAAACUUUCAACAACGGAUCUCUUGGUUCUCGCAUCGAUGAAGAACGCAGCGAAAUGCGAUACGUAAUGUGAAUUGCAGAAUUCCGUGAAUCAUCGAAUCUUUGAACGCACAUUGCGCCCCUUGGUAUUCCAGGGGGCAUGCCUGUUUGAGCGUCAUUUCCUUCUCAAACAUUCUGUUUGGUAGUGAGUGAUACUCUUUGGAGUUAACUUGAAAUUGCUGGCCUUUUCAUUGGAUGUUUUUUUUUUCCAAAGAGAGGUUUCUCUGCGUGCUUGAGGUAUAAUGCAAGUACGGUCGUUUUAGGUUUUACCAACUGCGGCUAAUCCUUUUUAUACUGAGCGUAUUGGAACGUUAUCGAUAAGAAGAGAGCGUCUAGGCGAACAAUGUUCUUAAAGUUUGACCUCAAAUCAGGUAGGAGUACCCGCUGAACUUAAGCAUAUCAAUAAGCGGAG
rnacentral:rRNA from 1 species